UCCGCGAACUUGAAAACGAGUUUCGGAUCUCAUUUCCGAAGCGAAUUCCACGUUCGAUGAACACUUUGCGCGUUCACUUCAUCCGUGGCACAAUGCGUCCUGGCUGAUCUAAGGAUGUUAUUCGACCUCCGGAUACGACCAGAACAAUCAGUUUCACCAACCGUCUUCCUCCUUCCUCGUCCGAUCCUCCGCUGCCAUUGCUGCUGCUGCUUCUGCUCCAUGUCGCUGUUCCUCUAACGAAAGAGAAAAAAACGAAAUAAGGCAGCGCGUGCAAAGAGAGACGAUCAAGAUGGCGAAGAAGGAAGAACGUAACGAUGGAAUUCAAGCUUUCGAGAGAGGAAGUCUCUCGAGCGAGACGUGAAGUGGACCGUCUUCGGUACUGAUCGCUCGGAACCACUCUGACAACUCUUAUCGCGGACACACUGACGACCACACUCUCGCUCGUAGCUCCACGAUCGUUCCGGAAUUCUCUUCAAACAUCAGCUGAAUGUUGCCACCGGGCUGUCUUAAUUAACCUUUUAUAGCUGUUAAUAAAUUACCUUACCUAUUCGUUUAA